AACGCACAUUGCGCCCGCCAGUAUUCUGGCGGGCAUGCCUGUCCGAGCGUCAUUUCAACCCUCAAGCCCCCGGGCUUGGUGUUGGAGAUCGGCGAGCCCUCCGGGGCACGCCGUCUCCCAAAUUUAGUGGCGGUCCCGCUGUAGCUUCCUCUGCGUAGUAGCACACCUCGCACUGGGAAACAGCGUGACCACGCCGUAAAACCCCCCACUUCUGAAAGGUUGACCUCGGAUCAGGUAGGAAUACCCGCUGAACUUAA
rnacentral:misc_RNA from 1 species